rnacentral:lncRNA from 1 species
CGGGCAGUACCAUAUAUCUUAUAAUUCAUCUAUCCAUUUACUGUUUCUAUGUGUACUCACAUAGCCUACCCAUUUGCUGCUUCUACGUGAACACACAUAGCCUUUACUGCUGUGUCACACUGUUGUGAUAAUUUAUUGCUGGGCACUAUGAUACUUCUAUCUCAUGAUUUUUGGGGUUCCUGAUUUGCAUCAGGAGAGUCCGUUAAGACUUGCAAAUUAUCAUACCUUUUAUGGCUCUGACCCACUCACUC